rnacentral:rRNA from 1 species
UACGUAGGGGGCUAGCGUUGCUCGGAAUUACUGGGCGUAAAGCGUGCGCAGGCGGUUAUGUAAGACAGAUGUGAAAUCCCCGGGCUCAACCUGGGAACUGCAUUUGUGACUGCAUCGCUGGAGUGCGGCAGAGGGGGAUGGAAUUCCGCGUGUAGCAGCGAAAUGCGUAGAUAUGCGGAGGAACACCGAUGGCGAAGGCAAUCCCCUGGGCCUGCACUGGCGCUCAUGCACGAAAGCGUGGGGAGCAAACAGG